UAUCAUCUGCACUGUCCAGAGGGGCAGAGCUGCACCCUUGCUAAUCUACGAUGAGUAAAGAAAGAAAAGGGCUGUAUAAGGCCCUCCCCAGGGAUGCAGCCAAACCCCCCGACAGGAAGGCACAGUGACAGCUGAAGGCAAUGCUUUCUACCAGGCAAGUGCUCUAUCACUGAACUACAUUCUCGGCAAAUCCAUGUCCUUGAACCGGAGGCUGCGUUGUUGAAACUAGCUUUCUUGGGUCCUUAUUCCUAAGACUGUCGUCACUCGUUAAUGAGCUUUGUCCACAAAUCUGAAACCGUUUUAACAUAGAUGGGUGCAGACGUGCUAAUAAAAUCCAGACGGCUACUCUACACAAACUAAUUCUUUAAACUGUGCGAGUGAUCAAAGAGGAUCCAUGCAAGUCAAGGACACAGAUUUGCUGUGGAUGUCGUUCAGUGGUAGAGCACUUGGCUGCUACUCACAAAGCUGUGAGUUCAAUCCCCAGCAUCACAGCUAGGUAAACACCUUCACUCCCACAAAGUUCACGGGGAAAAUGGGUAGCCGGAUACAGUUUACUGUGUCUGUGGAAGCAUGAACCAAGAAGAAGGAGGAGUAUUUAGGCUCCUUCCAUCAUGUGUAACCCAAAGGGACCCGGAUGAACCAGGAUUAUCCAAAGUUGAUGCUCUAAGAAUGCAACUUUAGACAUGAUACUGUGAAGCUAGUGUCAUCACAGGAGGGGACACGAGUGGGGCUCACAGGUCCCAAGAACUAUGUCCUUUACUAUAGAGGUUCAAAAGUGGCAGCUUGCAGUUACAUAGUAUAAAGCAAGAGUAAUUGUAGCCUCCCACAAGCCUGAAGCAGGCUGAGCCAGACCUUGACUUUGUUGUCACUAAGGAGAUUACCUAGGGUGGAGCCUGCCUCCCUAGAUCCCUAGCGACUGCCCCUACUGCUACCUGCUGGGAGUCGGCCUAGCUGUUCCAGAGCCUACACGUGAUCACCUGCAGCUGGGCUCCGAGGAUGAUUUGGUGGGAAUGAGCU